rnacentral:rRNA from 1 species
UGUACGGAAUGGAUAAGCGCUGAAAGCAUCUAAGCGCGAAGCCAACUUCAAGAUAAGAUUUCCCACCGCAAGGGUAAGACCCCAGCAAGACUAUCUGGUUGAUAGGUCGAAGGUGUAAGUGCAGCAAUGGAUUUAGCUUAUCGAUACUAAUAGGUCGAGGACUUGACCAAU